CCAACGGCCCUCUUUAGGGCCACCAUCUUAAGGUUUCUUUGUAUU
rfam:Strongyloides stercoralis strain PV0001 genome assembly, scaffold: SSTP_scaffold0000009